GCCUUCGUGGUGUAGUGGUCAGCACACUCGGAGGGUAUUCGAGUGGUCCAUGGUUCGAGUCUCGGCGAUGGCA
rfam:Stegodyphus mimosarum contig89464, whole genome shotgun sequence.